CACCAACUUUACCUUGACGAUCUUUUGGGGCGGUGACGUCAUUGUUGUCUGUUUGGCUAAAUUCUGGUCUGCAUGCAUGUAGAUUGUUUACCUCUCUCUCAGCGGCGGGUGGUUUGGCCAUCGCGGUAACAUGGAAUGGGCUUUUCUUUACAAAAUCGGGGACCUCAGUCAGCAAAGUGUCGAAUGGGUUAUUCAAACGUCACUCCAGCCGUCUGAUGGAUGUACACGUGGAUUCCUGGGGAACCACGAUGGCUACAAUACUCAUCUGCUGUUUUUAAUUGUUAAGGGAAACCGAUCAUGGAAAUGGAUGGAGGGCCCUGAGGAAAUUUCAUAUCUGAUGUGCCAUUCAUCAGUCCAGUGCAGAAGUCAUAAAUUAUGCUUCCUAUUACCGGAUCGGUGUAUCCCAGUUACAAUCCCCCCUUUUUUUCCUCCCUUCUCUCUGUUCCUGCUAUCAAGUUUAUCAGUAAAAAAACUUGAAACUGUGCAAAUGUCUCCGUGGAGGUCAUUUAUAUAAAAAAAUAAAGAAAAAAAUGAACCCGCAAUAAUAAUAGAAUUGAUAGUAUUAGGCAACAAAGAAAGAUUAUGUUUCAUGAAUUACAACCCUUCGCCUUGAUGAUUACCGUUGGUCAGAACAGGGUUGUGUUGGGCAAACUGCCCACCUAAGAGAUAUGGUGAAUUUUCAG
ensembl:lncRNA